UCCUAAUCACCACGUACAUGUACCUGAUUCUGCGGGAAGAGGUUAAAAAGGAAUGGGGAAUAAAAAGAAAAAAACAACAUACUUCUUUUUCCUACUGGAUCCACUACUGACUGGCUCAAAAACUGCAGUGACAAUCUUUUAAAAAAAAUGCCAGAAAAAGACCUGUGUAGAAGCCUAGCCUUAGAUAAUAAAGCAAGUGUUCAGUAAAAACAUGUUCCCUUACUAAAAUGCUUAGCCUACCUAAUAAAACCUCUGGGAUACUCCGUUUCUCAAAGCUGGAGGCCGUGAUUGUGACAUCUCAGCCAUGCCCCUUCAUGAUGUCACGCCACACCCCCUCCAUUCAUGUCUAUGGGAGGGGGCGAGUUGGCCAUCAGAGGAAGGGGAGAGAGGAAGGAGACGUCUAUUCGGCCAAUCACUGGCUUCUGCAGUCACUUUCUUGAGUGACUUAUUGGCUGAGGAGGCAUCUAAUGUGUCAACACACAGGCAACAAUGCUCAGCAUUAGGGACCAGCAAGGUUGAAAAGAGCAAAGGUGGGUGAUCAAAGGCUGAGUUAUGCUGUGAUUUAUUACCUGACAGACUCCUGAAUCCAUCAAUUGAAGGGUCAGUGUGGAGUCAGUUCUCAAUAAUCCAUAGCUAAUCAAGAGAAUCUACAGGAAUGUUCGAGGGAAAACAGGAAAUCCUUGAGAUGUGCAAAGAACUGAGUCAUAACUAGUGUCUGAAAUCCGUAUGAAUCAUUCCACAAGCCCUACAUUUAC